CUUGAUUGAAAAUUUGGCAACGAGGAACGGAGAGAGUAUUAAUAUGAAAUUAAAUCUUGCAUUAUCUAAUAUCGUUUGUCGAAUAGUGUUUGGUACAAGGCUCAAAUACCAUGGAAGUAAAUUAAAGCAUAUGGUCGAAAUAUUUACAAAGAACUUUGAAGACAAUCCUCAUUCUCGCAUGUUAUCCACGGUUAGCUUGGCUCCAAUUUUACGUUUUGUCCCGCCGUUCAGCAAUGU